ensembl:miRNA aca-mir-5461 aca-mir-5461
AAACCAGACUUGAGCAGUUGUAGGGCUAUGCAUUAGGACCCAGAAUGUAAUCUCAAUGCACUGCACUGCACUGCUUAGCUUUGGAAC